rnacentral:rRNA from 1 species
AUGACAGAAACAACCUUCUACUUUGAAGCCUCCUCUUUUGAUCAGAUUCAAAUCAUCACCCUUUCCAGCGGCAGCAGUAAACAAGAAGGGAAAGGGCGACUGAAGUACCUACUGCAGCAGACAGAAGUAUUUGCCCACUUUGCAGAAGGAAGCCAGGCUAAAGAGAAGAAGCCACGUGGAAGCUCACAUUCUCCCCCCGAGGCCGAAUCCCCUUUCUCCCGGUGCCUCACCAAUUUCGAUCGACGGCGCAAGGCGGCCGGCCGGAACCCAGUCGAGUCGAGCUCCUCCCGGCGCGGCCUUCAGCAGUGCGCGGCGCUCCAGCUCGUCUUCACCGUCCAGCCCGAAGAACAUACAGGAUCUGAAGUAUCAACCUCUUUAAUAUUCCUUCUCCCGGCAGCAGCACACUUCGUCGGUUUUGUCCCGCUCGGCACUCUCCUCCCAGGCUCCCACCUAGUGUUUGCCGGUGGAAAACCAAAGAUGAAGCAGAGCAGCCUCGCGUGCGCGGCCAUCGGUCUGCUCGUCGCGUUCGGAUGGCUCGCAGCUGCUGGAGACUGCAGUCUUUCCCUCAAGUUCUGCGUCAUGAGGGAUUGCAAGACCAAAGGUGAGUUUUGGAAGUGGAAACCGGACUGCUUCUGCUGCGUCGUGCAGCCGGGCGUUCCGUGCUGGCACACGGAAAACCUGAUGCUACGCCCUGUUUGCUGUUGCAACCCCUGUCUACGUGUGGUACUACGCCUGUUUGCUGCUGUACUGAGGUGCGAGGCUGGGUUUUGUGAGUUCCAAUCUGCUUUGGUUUUGCCACACCCAAAGAUGUAUCAUCUGUUUCCAAAUGAUAGAUCUGAACUGCCCGGACUGCCGCACUACGGUGCCAUAUAG